GCAAACUUCAUAAUAAAAAGUUAACAAUCAAAUAUACACACAUUAUUCAUUCUUCCAACUUUUCUACCAUCCAAAAUAUGAGUCCACCUCUUAGACCAUUAGAAUAUGAGCUUUAAGUCAUCAAGACAUAGCCUUAAUUUUAAAUUAGUUGGUGUCAAGUCAACCAUAUGGAUAUAAACCUUUAUUCCACUCCAUUAGAACAUCUUCAAAAACUUGAGAAACG
rnacentral:misc_RNA from 1 species